UACCGCAAGCAAUAUACGCAACUUACCGUUACCAGGAUACCUGAAUAUGGAGCGUGCACCCCCAGUAGCUGAUUCUCAGCGUUUAAUGCUGCUUAGUUUGAUAAAGGAGCAUGAGAGUGUUAUCAACGACCGAUGUACGGGAAGUAGAACUUUGGAAAGAAAACGUCAGGCAUGGCCAGAAAUUACUUUGAAGUUCAACGCCAUGUAUCCAGACCAACCUCCACGGUCAUCAAUGCAGGUCAAGCGCUGUUUCGACCACGUAAAACGCAAGGAAGCAGGAAGAUGCUGCUGUCAAGAUAAAGCUAUGCAGAACUGGUGGUGGUCCACCACCAGAUCUUCGAAACUAUUCAGAAGAGUUUGUGAUAGCUGCAUCGAUGAUGACAGAAGAAUUGAUCAUGGACAAAGGAGAGCCCAUACAUGAUGUUAAAAUAAGUAUUACAGAGCCACUGCCUUCAACCUCAGCACAAUCAGAAAGUGGUGUUUCAUCUAUUCGUGAAUCAAGAUCCAGAUUCCUUAAUCGGUCAGCUAUGUCAUCACCGUCUUCAAUGGAACACUAAAUUUUUAAACCCAUAGUUCCCCAUGAAACUUCCCGUCCUUCAACGCCUAUUGUUACUCCAGGCAGAACUUCACCAAAAUUGCGCAACACAUCACGGGAUGUAUCUCCAAUACCUCGGUCUUCUACACCCACAGAGGAAGCAUAUUCUUCAACUAAAAAAUUGAAGUUAGAUGAUGCAUACAUCAAGUGUAGGGAAAGACAAGAGGAACUGCGUGAUCUCAGAAUGGAAAAUGAAAAGGAGCAACAUAUAAUGGCAAAAAGAGAGCAUGAACUAAAGGUGAAAUUAAUUAACAAUAUGAAUGAAUUUGUGGAUGAAAUGCACUCAUCAGCAAUGUCUGUGUUUGCUAACUUGAAUGCUUUUCUUAACAGUGCAAAAUCUGCCUAUGAAGCAAUGCGCAACUCGUAUGAAUAAACUAGGUAUUGGUUGUUGGUUGGUUUAUGGAAUUUAGCCUUAUUGCAAGGGUUACAGUAGGUGUUAUUUCCAUAGAUCACGUUGUUUUUGCUUUUAGGAGAGAAAAAUGGCUCCACUGAUAGGUGUGUUUGUUAAAUGAAGGUUUCAUCAUAAGGUCAGCCUUCACUUAACCUUAUCAUUUCUUUAAAACUGAAUAGCCAUAGUUGCCCCAUUGCUUGGCAUUAUGCCUAAAUUCUAUAAACCCAACCAAACCCAUUUCAUAUUUUUCUUUGCUGUGAUGUAGUGUUAGUAUAUAUUUUAUUUUAUACCUAUGGUAUAUGAAGGUGCUCUCAUGAAUCAGGUGUUCCUAUUUGUAAGUUAGUUAAUUGAUACCAAACAGUACAAUGUAUACUUCCAAAUAAUCAUUUCUUAGUUUGUAUGGUGUUACAUAGGUUUAAUAUGUCCAUUUGCAUCGUGAUAUUAGGUAUUAUAGAAUACUGUAGUACUUUAAUGAAUCUGAUGAUAAGUGAAAUUAGGUAUUGAGUAUCAUAUAUGUCCAUUUUUAUCUUGAUAUUAGGUAUCAUAUUAUUUUCAUGAACCUGAUGUUAAGUGAAAUUAGGUAUUGAGUAUCAUGCAUUACAAGGUUUACUUCGAAAUUAUAUUUUCUGAAUUGGUAGCCUAUGCUGUGAUAGGGAUAAUAUGUACUAACAGGAUAAUUUAUCAAUUUAUCAGUGUUUAGAACUUAUUAGGGCUAGUUUAAUAUUUUAUUGUCUCCCUUAUUACUUUGGCCAUAUUUUUAUGAUAUACGUACUUACUUGCAUUGGCAGCCCGUUAUGAUAUAAUUCUUAAACCAAUGUUUCUGAAUAAUUUAUAUUAGACAUCAUAUGUAAAGGUCUAAAUAAUGGUGUUAUGAUUUGACCUGAACCACGGGUCCACAUAGCUAUGAUUUAACCUGAAUCACAAGUUGUAUUCAAAUUUUUAUCACCACCAUUUUCAUCUUGCAAGUACAACAGUCGUGUCUUUCUCAGGGUGUCAGAUUGACAACUAUGGUAGUAAGAG